rnacentral:rRNA from 1 species
AACGCUAGCUACAGGCUUAACACAUGCAAGUCGAGGGGCAGCAUGGGCUUAGCUUGCUAAGUCCGAUGGCGACCGGCGCACGGGUGAGUAACACGUAUCCAACCUGCCGUCUACUCUUGGACAGCCUUCUGAAAGGAAGAUUAAUACAAGAUGGUAUCAUGCGUAAGCAUUUUCACAUGAUUAAAGGGUUUCCGGUAGACGAUGGGGAUGCGUUCCAUUAGAUAGUAGGCGGGGUAACGGCCCACCUAGUCUUCGAUGGAUAGGGGUUCUGAGAGGAAGGUCCCCCACAUUGGAACUGAGACACGGUCCAAACUCCUACGGGAGGCAGCAGUGAGGAAUAUUGGUCAAUGGACGAGAGUCUGAACCAGCCAAGUAGCGUGAAGGAUGACGGCCCUAUGGGUUGUAAACUUCUUUUAUACGGGAAUAAAGUGAGGCACGUGUGCCUUUUUGUAUGUACCGUAUGAAUAAGGAUCGGCUAACUCCGUGCCAGCAGCCGCGGUAAUACGGAGGAUCCGAGCGUUAUCCGGAUUUAUUGGGUUUAAAGGGAGCGUAGAUGGAUGUUUAAGUCAGUUGUGAAAGUUUGCGGCUCAACCGUAAAUUGCAGUUGAUACUGGAUGUCUUGAGUACAGUUGAGGUGGGCGGAAUUCGUGGUGUAGCGGUGAAAUGCUUAGAUAUCACGAAGAACUCCGAUUG